rnacentral:rRNA from 1 species
UGGCGCAUGCCAUAUUGGUUAAAGUUAUUCGGCAACGGAUGGGCAUGCGGCGCAUUAGCUAGUUGGAGGGGUAACGGCCCACCAAGGCGACGAUGCGUAGGGGUUCUGAGAGGAAGGUCCCCCACACUGGUACUGAGACACGGACCAGACUCCUACGGGAGGCAGCAGUGAGGAAUAUUGGUCAAUGGGCGGGAGCCUGAACCAGCCAAGUCGCGUGAGGGAUGACGGUCCUAUGGAUUGUAAACCUCUUUUGUCGGGGAGCAAGGACUCUACGCGUAGAGUUGUGAGAGUACCCGAAGAAAAAGCAUCGGCUAACUCCGUG